AGAGAGAGACAUGCGCGCAUAUCAAUAAGCGGAGGAAAAGAAACUAACAAGGAUUCCCUUAGUAACGGCGAGUGAAGCGGGAAGAGCUCAAAUUUGAAAUCUUCAAGGUUUUACCUUGACGAAUUGUAGUUUAAAGAAGUGUUUUCUGCUGAAGUUUUGGUAAAAGUUCUUUGGAAUAGGACAUCAUAGAGGGUGAGAAUCCCGUAUUUGACCAUUAUUUUCAGCUUUGUGAUACACUUUCAAAGAGUCGGAUUGUUUGGGAAUGCAGUCCAAAAUGGGUGGUAAAUUUCAUCUAAAGCUAAAUAUUGGCGAGAGACCGAUAGCGAACAAGUACCGUGAGGGAAAGAUGAAAAGAACUCUGAAAAGAGAGUUAAACAGUACGUGAAAUUGUCAAAAGGGAAGCGUUUGACACCAGUGUUGUUUUCUCGAAAAUCAAUUAAAAAUGGCUCGAUUUUGUAUUGUUGAGACCUUAAAAGCUCACUGUACAUUUUUCGUGUCUUUUUUAAUGCACUUUUCGUUUAACAAGUCAACAUCAGUUUCUUUUGUUGUAAAAGGGUCAUUGGAAGGUGGCUUUCUUUUCGGAGAAAGUGUUUAUAGCCUUUGGCCUCUGCAAUCGGAAGAGACUGAGGUCUGCAGCGUAGACUCUUCGGGGUUAGAUACAUUUGUGCUAAGUUAUAGCUUUUUAUAGACAACUUGUUGACUAUAAUUAGUCUUGUAGCUUACUCGCUUAUGCUAUUUUACCUACGCUUAGGAUGUUGAAGUCAUCGUAUCGCGC
rnacentral:rRNA from 1 species